rnacentral:rRNA from 1 species
GACGAACGCUGGCGGCGUGCCUAACACAUGCAAGUCAACUUGAGGGAAGGAGCAAUCUGACCUGAUGGUGGCGCAAGGGUGCGUAACGCGUAAGUAACUUGCCCAAGGUAAGGAAUAACGUCGAGAAAUCGGCGCUAAUACCUCAUAAUGCAGCGGAUCCGCAUGGAUAUGUUGUUAAAGGUUUACCGCCUUGGGAUAGGCUUGCGUCUGAUUAGCUAGUUGGUGUGGUAAUGGCACACCAAGGCUACGAUCAGUAACUGGUCUGAGAGGAUGAUCAGUCACACUGGAACUGAGACACGGUCCAGACUCCUACGGGAGGCAGCAGUGAGGAAUAUUGGGCAAUGCACGAAAGUGUGACCCAGCAACGCCGCGUGGAGGAUGAAGGUAUUCGUAAUAUCGUAAACUCCUGUGAGAGC